GAUGAACGCUGGCGGCGUGCCUAAUACAUGCAAGUCGAGCGAAUGGAUUAAGAGCUUGCUCUUAUGAAGUUAGCGGCGGACGGGUGAGUAACACGCGGGUAACCUGCCCAUAAGACUGGGAUAACUCCGGGAAACCGGGGCUAAUACCGGAUAACAUUUUGAACCGCAUGGUUCGAAAUUGAAAGGCGGCUUCGGCUGUCACUUAUGGAUGGACCCGCGUCGCAUUAGCUAGUUGGUGAGGUAACGGCUCACCAAGGCAACGAUGCGUAGCCGACGUGAGAGGGUGAUCGGCCACACUGGGACUGAGACACGGCCCAGACUCCUACGGGAGGCAGCAGUAGGGAAUCUUCCGCAAUGGACGAAAGUCUGACGGAGCAACGCCGCGUGAGUGAUGAAGGCUUUCGGGUCGUAAAACUCUGUUGUUAGGGAAGAACAAGUGCUAGUUGAAUAAGCUGACACCUUGACGGUACCUAACCAGAAAGCCACGGCUAACUACGUGCCAGCCGCCGCAGUAA
rnacentral:rRNA from 1 species